GAGUUUGAUCCUGGCUCAGAACGUACGCUGGCGGCACGCCUAAUACAUGCAAGUCGAACGAAGUAGUAAUACUUAGUGGCAGACGGGUGAGUAACAUGUAGGUAUCUUCCCUUUGGUGAGGAAUAACACGAGGAAACUUGUGCUAAUACCUCAUAAGUCUUUACGGAGAAAGCUUUAUGCGCCAAUGGAUGAGCCUGCACUUGAUUAGUUUGUUGGUAGGGUAAUGGCCUACCAAGACAAUGAUCAAUAGCUGAUUUGAGAGGAUGAUCAGCCACAUUGGGACUGAGACACGGCCCAAACUCCUACGGGAGGCAGCAGUAGGGAAUCUUGCACAAUGGGGGGAACCCUGAUGCAGCGAUGCCGCGUGAGUGAAGAAGGCCUUUGGGUUGUAAAGCUCUUUCGUCGGGGAAGAAAAUGACUGUACCCGAAUAAGAAGGUCCGGCUAACUUCGUGCCAGCAGCCGCGGUAAUACGAAGGGACCUAGCGUAGUUCGGAAUUACUGGGCUUAAAGAGUUCGUAGGUGGUUAAAAAAGUUGGUGGUGAAAUCCCAGAGCUUAACUCUGGAACUGCCAUCAAAACUUUUUAGCUAGAGUAUGAUAGAGGAAAGCAGAAUUUCUAGUGUAGAGGUGAAAUUCGUAGAUAUUAGAAAGAAUACCGAUUGCGAAGGCAGCUUUCUGGAUCAUUACUGACACUGAGGAACGAAAGCAUGGGUAGCGAAGAGGAUUAGAUACCCUCGUAGUCCAUGCCGUAAACGAUGUGUGUUAGACGUUGGAAAUUUAUUUUCUGUGUCGCAGCGAAAGCAAUAAACACACCGCCUGGGGAGUACGACCGCAAGGUUAAAACUCAAAUGAAUUGACGGGGACCCGCACAAGUAGUGGAGCAUGUGGUUUAAUUCGAAGAUACGCGCAGAACCUUACCAACACUUGACAUGUUCGUCGCGACUUUAAGAGAUUAAAGUUUUCGGUUCGGCCGGACGAAACACAGGUGCUGCAUGGCUGUCGUCAGCUCGUGUCGUGAGAUGUUGGGUUAAGUCCCGCAACGAGCGCAACCCUCACUUUUAGUUGCCAUCAUUUAGUUGGGCACUCUGAAAGAACUGCCAGUGAUAAGCUGGAGGAAGGUGGGGAUGACGUCAAGUCCUCAUGGCCCUUACGUGUUGGGCUACACACGUGCUACAAUGGCACUUACAACAGGAAGCAAAACGGCGACGUUAAGCAAAUCCUAAAAAAGUGCCUCAGUUCGGAUUGUACUCUGCAGCUCGAGUACAUGAAGCUGGAAUUACUAGUAAUCGCGGAUCAGCGCGCCGCGGUGAAUACGUUCCCGGGUCUUGUACACACCGCCCGUCACACCAUGGGAGUUGGUUCUACCUUAAGGCAAAGCUUAAAAACUUUGACCACGGUAUAGUCAGCGACUGGGGUGAAGUCGUAACAAGGUAACC
rnacentral:rRNA from 1 species